rnacentral:rRNA from 1 species
ACUCCUACGGGGAGGCAGCAGUGGGGAAUAUUGCACAAUGGGCGCAAGCCUGAUGCAGCAACGCCGCGUGAGCGAUGAAGGCCUUCGGUCGUAAAGACUCUGUCCUCAAGGAAGAAUAAAUGACGGUACUUGAGGAGGAAGCCCGGGCUAACUACGUGCCAGCAGCCGCGGUAAUACGUAGGGGGCAAGCGUUAUCCGGAAUCACUGGGGCGUAAAGGGGUGCGUAGGCGGUUUUCAAGUCAGAAGUGAAAGGCUAUGGCUCAACCAUAGUAAGCUUUUGAAACUGUUAAACUUGAGUGCAGGAGAGGAAAGUGGAAUUCCUAGUGUAGAGGUGAAAUUCGUAGAUAUUAGGAGGAACACCAGUGGCGAAGGCGACUUUCUGGACUGUAACUGACGCUGAGGCACGAAAGCGUGGGGGAGCGAACAGGAUUAGAUACCCUGGUAGCACAGAG